rnacentral:rRNA from 1 species
UACGUAGGGCGCAAGCGUUUGUCCGGAAUUAUUGGGCGUAAAGAGCUCGUAGGCGGCUUGUCACGUCGGGUGUGAAAGCCCGGGGCUUAACCCCGGGUCUGCAUUCGAUACGGGCAGGCGUAGAGUGUGGUAGGGGAGAUCGGAAUUCCUGGUGUAGCGGUGAAAUGCGCAGAUAUCAGGAGGAACACCGGUGGCGAAGGCGGAUCUCUGGGCCGAUACUGACGCUGAGGAGCGAAAGCGUGGGGAGCGAACAGG